rnacentral:rRNA from 1 species
AUUGAACGCUGGCGGCAGGCUUAACACAUGCAAGUCGAGCGGGGUGAUGGUGCUUGCACUAACACUUAGCGGCGGACGGGUGAGUAAUGCUUAGGAAUCUGCCUAUUAGUGGGGACAACAUCUCGAAAGGGAUGCUAAUACCGCAAACGUUCUACGGGAGAAAGCAGGGGAUCACUUGUGACCUUGCGCUAAUAGAUGAGGCUAAGUCGGAUUAGCUAGUUGGUGGGGUAAAGGCCUACCAAGGCGACGAUCUGUAGCGGGUCUGAGAGGAUGAUCCGCCACACUGGGACUGAGACACGGCCCAGACUCCUACGGGAGGCAGCAGUGGGGAAUAUUGGACAAUGGGGGGAACCCUGAUCCAGCCAUGCCGCGUGUGUGAAGAAGGCCUUAUGGUUGUAAAGCACUUUAAGCGAGGAGGAGGCUACUCUAGUUAAUACCUAGGGAUAGUGGACGUUACUCGCAGAAUAAGCACCGGCUAACUACGUGCCAGCCGCCGCAGUAA